CUAAUUUUUCGCUUUCUGCAGCAGAAAUACUGAGAUAUCUCGAUAGGAAAAAUUCCUAGAUCGACGCAAAACCAAAACUCUUAACAUGCGUUCGAAAUAUAAUGAUGUGAACUUGAAAAAAAAUGACGGGUCUAAAAGUUAAACGACGAAUGAAAUGUAAUGCGAUGCGUGCAACGCUAUAGUAUUCAUAAAUGCCAUGCAUCCAAGCAGCGAUUUAUUAAUUAAUAAUCUCAUGACUUCGAAUCGUUGAGGUACUUCCAGCGAGUAACGUACCUGAAAUCGAACCACACCAUCCGGAGACGGUUGAUAAUUUUGCACGCGUCACGUAAUUUGGUCGAAAUAAAAUACUCCAUUGAAUUAUGGUCGCGAUCAAUCGCGGUGUAAAUAUAUGAGUAGUUCAAAUGUUUGUUCGACACGUGGAUCGAACGACGAUGCGGCGUAUAAAUAUCUGUGAUAUAAUUAGCGGGAUCGGAGUUAGUCUCGAGGGGUUUAAUUGUCAGCUGACGCAACGAACGAUCACCGCGAUCAAAAUAUACGUCGAACAAUGUGACGCGAUAUUGGCUGACACCGUCUAGUACUUUUGACGGUCAGGAAACCGACCGACGUGACGAGCCCUGGGCCUUUCAAAAUUCAAUUUUCGAUCAAUUAGAAGGUAAAAAAUUAUAACUCGACGGCAUGACGAACGUCACCUAUGCGUGAAAUGCUCGUAUUAUAUGUACAGACGUUGAAAAGGAAAAGAGGAUCACGAGGAUAGGAAUUAUUAAUGGAGAAAAAAAAAUAACACGAAUAAAAGAAUUCGGAUUUUAUAACCGUACUCCGAUAAUUGCCUCGCUGCUCCAAUUUAAGGAAUGAAUCCAAUCACUUAUCGUUCUUGUACGGGAUAAUUUAAUUGGUACAGCCUCGUUUAUUGAAUUUACACAGGUAUAUGAUAUAUUUAUGUGAUACGAUUCGUGGUGAAAAAAAAAAAUUAUCACGUGGGCCGAAGAAAUGCGCAAGUAUCAUAAAUAUGUGUCACGCCGAUGAGGAGCAUCGCAAUGUCGAAAUGUACGAUGUUCGCCAGGAAUAUUGCGGAAAAUUGUUUCAAAAUAAAUUGAAUACAUAUAAUACUAUGAUAACGACGAGGUACGCCUACGCAUAUUAUAUUAAUUACGUUAUGGAAAAAUUCGUGAUAAUUAAUUCGAAUAAUUAACGUCAGCGCGUAUCUGGAUAACUUGAAUAUUUGUAUCAACGCUGGGAGGGAUCUCAGCGAACUUCCCGCGGCCUCUCGAUGAUCCUCCCUCGUCGUUUUUCCCCUUUUUUUUGUUCAUCCGUUUCAUUAUCUUUUAUCACGUAACGUUCGAUGUCCGUCGGCGUAUCCGUCUUGGGUGCAGAUCGUCGCUUAGCGACGCCUCCCAUACCUAUUAUAUUACGAAGCUGAGGCGAGACGACGCGAGGUAACGAAAAAAUUCAUUUCUUUGUCGCUGAUGCAGUUUCCGGUCCCGGUGCCUGUUGCAGAGCCGUCCGUGUGUGAGGUAUGAAUACAUAUGCAUAAACGGUCGAAGGAUCCUUCGGGACAGAUACACGGAAUAAUACAUAUCUUGUAAUCGCUACGCUCAGUUAACUUGAUAUAAUUUUUUUUUUUCUUUCUUUCCUUCUUAAUCACCGAUUUAAUUACCUACCGUACUAUUCGAUGUAUCUCACGAUCGCAAUCCGGACCGAGCAUAUUUUACGUAUACCACGUGUAACAGGGAUUGAGUCUUCAACGGAAUCAAAAAAAUAAUAAUUGGACUGCUUUUUUUUUCCACUUUUUCACCGUAAUCAUUUACAUUCAAUUAAUUCCGGCAAACAAUGCGGAGGCGAGAUUUUUUCGACGCUUUUCUUUCAAAAUGAAUCAUUAUUCAGAUAAAGUCGUACGUCAUCGUCUAUUAACGAACGAAAUAAAAUGAGACUCGAGAGCCAAUCGAAAAAUUCCAUCGACGUCCGCAUGGGAAUUGAGUCGGUAACCGCAAAGAAUUUGCUCGAGCACAAGGGGAACCGAUGACGGAACUUUUUCACAUCCGAUUUGAACGGUGUCAUAUCAUUAUUUCCGUCCCGCUCAAACCGCAAGCCUCCCUGCAUUUACAGGUAUAUAGGUUAAAUAAAGGCUCGCGAUUCCUUCUUUUUAUUUGUACUCCGGACACCCAUUGUGCCACCGGUACUGCGACCCUGUACACAUAUAAUAAAUGAAAAUGUAGCCGCUCCAGAUGAUACGGAGAAUAUUCCCAUUGCGCGUCGCGUCUCACCGGAAUCCUCCGAUAAAAAACAGGGAAUAGAUUUCGUACGUGAAUUAUUCUUCGAACGUCUAAUUAUACGAGAGAGAUGAUAUGUUUUUGUGGCCGCGGUGGAGUGCGGGGUGAAAGAUGACGGAGGACAGGUGAACGUGGACGAAAUUGUAGAAGAGAGGAGAGAGACGGAGGGAGAAAGUGUGAGGAUAAAAAGUGGUAAAAGGAAUUAAUUUCAAAGAUGAUGCGUCGUCGUCCACAGAUGCGGACGUCGUAGGGGCUGAGUCGAGAGGGGGUUGAGACCCGCGCUACUGUCAACCGUUUUAAUGAAUAUCUUGAGGAUAUAAUCAUAAGUAUGCGUACACCAGACGUUGAAGAAGCACCGGAAGGGUUCCCCACAUUCAAAACGUCAACAGUCAAUGACGACGAAACUCUUCGAAAACGGUUUACUUUCUUUUUUUUUCCUCUCUUCGUUUAUUAUCAUACACACGCGCGGUCAAGAGCCCCCUAAUUUCGGGUCCUCGCCUUCCGUCAGACACACAAAACAAUGCGACCCCCUCAGACGCGGGUAAAUUAUUGCGGUUGCACGUUAUGUUUGUACACCCGUGACCCGAACGUUCGUUCAAUUUUUCGAAAAAUAAUACCGAGCGCACUUUUGUCGAUUCGUUAGAAAUCAAUUCAUGCUUCGAUUAUCCUUUGAACGACGAUCAAUUGCGGUGUAAUUGUAGAGCGUCGCGACAUGUUUCGGGACGUGCGUCUGCACGGCGGCCCUGAUGAUGACCGGGUAUCUAAUUAUCGAUAUAUCUGGUUUAUACGGUUGAUGGUGUGUUAUAUUAUGCCGCAGCCUACGCAGGGCCAACCACCUGUGCGCAUACCUAAUUCUAUAUAAUAAAGUCUCAUGCAUAUGAAUUUAGUGAGAGGCCUAGUCGUACUAUACGGAGUCUGCCACUUAUCAUAGAAUCUAUCGGACUACAACCCUUUGGAUACGCAUAAUAAAUGGUACGACGUCAACUCGUGAUGCGUGCACGCCAGGCCACCGCACCGCACCGCACCGCACCGCACCGCCAUCGCCAUCGCCAUCGCCAUCGCCAUCGACUUACUCAAACUUGCGUAUUACGGGUAUAUACGUGCGUCCCCGGCGCAGGGCAAAAAAAGCAACCCUUUGCCACCCGUUACGCUAGUCCCCGACUAUCUAAUAUCCGUGGCGACUUCUUGCAUAGCCCACGUAAUAAUUGCCGCGGACGAAACUCGAGAGCAGAUGCGGCAUUUCGAGACUGGUAAUCUUGAUCUCGUACCGCGCCGCGUUCCUCAUCUUCGCGGAUCGCUUUCAGUCGGUCGAUUAAAAUUUUUCGAAAUUCCGUGCGGAUCGGAGGGGAAUUCAAAAAAUAAUCGAGGCGCGUACCGUUUGUCGCGGAGAGGAAAAAGGGCCGCUAUCGUACCGGUCCGACCGUCUUUUUCGGUACUCGAACAAGGCAAAAGGCAAAGAACACCUGUGCCAACUGGGGCGCGUCCGAGCAGACGGACUUACGAGCGCCGAACGGGUGGACAAAACAGGUGGGUCUUGAUCGUAGCGAUGCGAUGCGAUGCGAUGCGGUGCCGGGAUUCUUGCAUCGCAUCGGGUUUGACUUAAUUCAUGAGUUCCUUCUGGUACCCGUACACACGUCACACUUUUUCACCGUGUGUGCUACGAGUCCCGCAGCUCGAUUGUUCGGUUCGCGUUUUUAUUUUAUUUUCUUUUUUAUUUUUUAUUUUUUUUUUUGCAUCUUAUUUCCCCGGUGUCGACGUAGUUUGGCAGGUUGGUCAAACCUCAAACGUACGGAAGGGAUGGUAUUAACGGGUGCGGGUUUCGUUUAGCUUCGGCACGACAUUGUAUCCGGCGAAUCUAAAGGCAGUUAGUCACCCCGCAAAAUGUAGUAGCAUCAUUUAGCGGUCUAACCGCGCGUUUUUCCAGUGAAACGUCCAACGUCGGCCAAACCGCACGCGCCGUUCAACCCCGUGCAUCUACCUGCAAUCCUGCGAUCGCCUCGUUCACCCCCUUUGUGGAGGAACAAUUCAUCGACAGGUAGGAAGAUUGGUUCGUUCUUUGUUUUAUUUUUAUUUAUUUUUUUUUCCUUUUCUUAUCUGCAUCUGAAAAAGCUGCGGAACCCUCGUGGACGAAGCAAUGUCACGGGGCUAAUUCGGAUCGAUCGGGGUCGUUAUGAGGAAGCAGCGUGGAAAAAAUGCUUCGUCAUUGACAUUUUUUUUACCGAUCGCGCUCGUUAGCACCAAAUUAUACACUCGCUCCGAGCCUCCGUUUAUACAGCGGGGAACAAAGGUAAUGCCAACGGAUAUUUUGGUCGCGGAUAAAGCAAAGUCGCCCCCAUCGCCCCCGUCGUACUGUAAUUCCGGAGGAGUUGCGGGACGGUACGAUCAUUGACUCGAGAUGGGCAUUGCUGUACGCUUGGCAUGCAUGCGUAUAAUCCAACAUCCCAUUACGUCUGCUACCUGCCCAAAAGCGGAUCAUGCACGGGUGACUUGCCACGUUUUAGUCCGGCGCAUCGUUUCGUUCCAGUAGCCAUCGGUGAUGCGCUGCCGUUGCCGUUGCCGUUGCCGUUGCGCGCCCCGCGCCAAAAUUCCACUCACGAGGAAACAAUACGAGAGAUGAAAGGUGGCAGACUUCGUGGCGAUGAGAAGACCGAUCAUUAACACGGAAUUUAGGUCACGCCACCGGAUCGAAGCCCGGAUCGCGUGGAUCAAAGAUUUCAGAUACGAGUCUGGCUCGCAUUUGAGUCGGGCACGAUCGAAUUGGUCAGCGGAGCGCGGGUCGUCCUUCGGAAAGCAACACCUCGGUCGCUCUCCGGAGCAUCCAGCAGCAGCAGCGAGCCAAAGUCAGCCGACACUGGAGCGGCGCGGUGAUCUUUCGGCUAUCCGGCUACCUGCAAUUAAGGACGGGACGGGACGGGUCAUUCGGUGACCGGUGUUUGUCAGCCCUUUACAUUGAUCCUGAGGUGUAAAACUGUCCCCGAUUCUCGCGCCCGUUUAACCGCUGCCGGGAAUCUCGCCGUAUACAUAGAUAUACCGCCUAACGUACGAGACGGGGCAAAUUAGACUCCUGGAAUGUGGAAUUAUAAGGCGCGUAUACGGUAAAUUUAUUCACUCGAUUCCGAAGGAAUGCUCAGCGGCGUAUUUAUGCGCCCGGGAAAUCUGUGUACACGUAUACGACACGGUACGGGUAUACCAUCCCCGCGUGAGCGAGGAGACGUUUUAAUCGAUCAGUGAGAAUUCGAAUUUGACGAGAUUAACUGGUGACUAAUUAAUUACGUGGAACGCGCGACCUUCCCUUACAAAUUAUCGACGUUUUUUUACGGCGGGGAGAUCGCGGAUCGCAUAACUCUUUAUUUCGAGUGCACAUUGUGCGCGCGGUGGUUGUAAAUUACGGGGUAUACGUGCGGCGUAUCCUUUACCGGGCUGCGUCGUAACGUGUCGAUCCCUAAAAAAGUAUUGCCAACAUCCUGCAGCACCGGCGAAACUUCCCGAAGUAAUCGUGUCGAUUACCUAUGAAUUAUGCCUUCCUUUUUAAACAUACAAUUACAUUUUCACGCUUUACAAUUACCCAGCUGCUCUGCUCUCCGCCGACGUUACUUCACCGACUCCGACGUACGUACGUAUACGUGUGGGUACGACGUCGGACAAUGCGACGCUCUCGUAGGGAGUACUGGGGAUCUCCUACGAACGUUCGCCGUAUCCCAUUCGAUUCUCGUGUACCCCGACGCGAUUGUUUAAACUCGACCCGUUUCCGUUCAGAUUUUAUUUUCAUUUCCUACAAUUAUACUCGAUAUGAAAUUAUAGGAUGCGAUCCGGUACGAGCUACCGAGGUUUUCGAAGCAAACUUGGGCAAUGGUCCGUCCGUCCACCUAUCCCUGUACGAGCCGCGCUCAUGUUAUUAUCCUGUUAUUUUCAGCGAGCACAAUUAUUCCCUCCGGGGGCGACGGGGACCGACAAUUCUCCUCCAAAUUGAAAUCCCUAUCUUUCACCGAAUCGUAAUUCGUUCGUUCGUUCGUUUUCUUUUUGUCGCUUUUACCGUAGAGGUAGAACCCCGCACUCGUGGAAGUGACUCACCGGAGCGUCGUGGUCGCGAUCGAGUUCCGCUCCGCGGAUAGCGAAGCGAGGACUCCUCUCCGUAAUUUCAUCGGCAUUCAAACCCGAUCGCGAUUACAAUCAUUAUACUCCCGAAUCGGAUGCGUGACCUUCGAGUAAGUAUACGUGAUACGGCUAGGUACAAGGGAAAUGAAUUUAUUACGGUUUCGCGACAAUUCUCACGAUACUCGGACUCGCGGCAUUCGUGUAAUUCUCUUACGGUAGCACGCAACAUUUCGGGGAGAACGAUAGGAACGCCAUCGGGGCUCGGACAAAGGGAGAUGAAACGCAGUGUAGGUAGCGGGUAAAAAGUGAAAAGUAAAAAGUCCGGAGCUGAACGACGAAAAAUAAAAACGGGGCUGUCAGAACCGUCAAGGAAGAAGAAAAACGGGCAUCGGCGUCGUGGGUAGGUAUUAUACUCGUGAAUGUGAUUAUUGAAAUUGUUAUUUACCAGCGUGUGGUUCACGGCCUUGCUAAAACCGAAAACCACAAACGCCGUGGGCAUCCCUCCGUCUAUAUACCUGUUCGCAGCCCUACAUUGUGAACCACGUGCGAUGUUAUGCAUUCGGUGAAUAUACGCGUGUGUCGUAACGUAUUUAUUCGGUAUCAUCCGCGCACAUCCCGAUCCCGAUCCGACUAACGGUUCCUACGAAAUUUCACCGAAAAUCUCUCGAGAUUGCGGAGAGAGAAUCGUUGAGUGGAGCAUUUUUUUGGAAAACUGGUCUCGCGUAGGUACAGAAGAAGGGGUGCGUGGAUGAAACGGGGGAACGUAAUUUACUUACGGUAUACCGAAUAUAAUAAACUAAUCAGAUGUACACGGUGUAUACUUAUCGCCGUCGGUUAAACGCAACUAAACAAGAGUCUAAAGAAAGCAAAAAUCCGAUGUAAACAAUGAGAGGAAGUGAAGGUCCAACGAUCGCGGCGCCGGCUUCCUUCGUGAAAUAAACAACAACUUCGCCCAUGUGGUUUACACAAACUCCCCCGAUCGCCCAGGUAUAAUACGCGUACCUCGCCUCGCGUUCCUCCAUCCCCAAUCUCUACGGAUAUAAUAAUUAUUCUUCGAGAAGUUGUUCUGCGCUUUCUACAUCCGCGCAUCUAGUUACGAAUGUAUAAGGUAGGUGGGUCGUACGUACGUAUGCAUGAUCGCGGUACACUUACGCUCUACGGAAAAUUAUACGCAACUGUAAAAUAUUAUGGAUGCGAAUGAAUUUUUUUCUACAAGGUACCCACCGCGCUAUUAUUACACUAAUAAUGAAUGACAGGCGUAGAUAUGGACGUACGAACCACGCUCAUCUAUUCGAUAAUUGCACAUUUAAUUGAUCCGCUCGGGAAGAGGAUUUGCGUGAGCGCGGUCUCGGUACGAAUGCCGAGUGUCGGCGAGAGGAGAGAAGAGAAGAGACGAACGAGCGGAGAGGAGAGAAGGGAGGGAGGGAAAAUAGCGGAGAGGAGAGGAGCGGAGAGGAGAGGAGAGGAGAGGAGAGAACGGUAAUAGACGGGGAGGAGUACCAGCUGGCGUCAGAGUGACACGAUCUAAAAUUAGAGCGCGUGUUGCGUGUCCACCGUCGCAUGCUCAUAUCGAACGCCCCCUUCCGGCUUCGCAUUAUUUUCAUAACUUCUUUUAAUUUUUUCCGCACUUUGCCCGGAGAGAAACCGUGAGAAGGGAAUCAAUAACGUAUAAAUAUAUUCACGUAUCACUACAGGAUAUCGACGUAAUCGCACAUUACAUCCCUCCUCGCUUCCCCCGCGAGCGCGAUUCCUCAAACGCGCUGCUGAUCGCGAUCGCUGCCGGAGAUAAUAAAAAAUGUGGUACACGCGAAUAAAAAACGAUCCCCGCAUUGAUUGCGUUGCAACAGCGAGCGAAGAAAAGACGAUCAUUAAAUACGUCAUGUGAGCUAAUUUUUAUCCCAUUCGAGUCUCCUCGUUUUUUUUACCCUCGCACUCGACCCACCGCGGAUUCUCCGCGAUAUUCGACUUCGCCGUGGGGCUAUUGUCGUCUAGCGUACGCGGUAUUCAAUUAGAGAGGAAAAUUAACGCAACCGGACGGAAGGAGAAGGUAAAAAUUCCCGAUGUAGUGGGACCUGUAACCGCGAAAGAACACGCGGACGUUAAACGGCGGUGAUUAGUGCAACGUUAAGAGAAUUUUGACGAGGAUCAUACGGGCAGAAUCGGUUAAUGAAAACGAAUAUAGGAAUACGGUCAUAAAAGUACGGUAACCCGAAAUUACAAGGCGAAUUUGCCCCGCUAAAACCAUUGAUUAAAACUAACUUAGCUCUAAAAAAUUACAAGUUCAAUCCGGCGACCGGUGGGUAUACCUGUACGCAGCCCGACAACGAAAUACCGUGAAAAAAAAAAAAAACAAACAGAUCCGGAGAGAUUGCUGCGCCAUUAAUUAGCUGUAAUUAUAAUGCGAAUUUGAACCGCGGAGGAUUAAGAAGCGGAAUAUCAAAUGAGGUCCACCGCGUACACGCGUAUACGUGUACGACGCGUUCGUACACCGUUAAUUAGAAACCGUGUUAUCACAGACAAAUUGCACGGGUCGUACACCCGCUGACCGUAUAAUGUUACGAGCCGCGUGGAACGACGGCUUCGCCUCGGACUUAACGAUAUCGCUCGAUGUCACGUCAGCCUUGAAAGUAUGCAACCGGACAAACGGGCGUUAUAAUUUAUUUAAUGAAAAAAAAAAAAAAAAAAACAAGGUAAAACGAAACCGAAGAAAAAAGUUUGCUCCAAUUUUCUCUCUCAUUUAAUUCCAAGCGCGAGGGUAUUCGAUCCACCGUGGAUAACCGUGAAGACGUAACAUUAUAAAGAUAACGACGAAAUCUGAUGGUAAAAUCUCCUUCACCCCUUCAUCCACGGUGAAAUACACGAGGUAGCACCUGCUCAAAAAUCGGGAGACGCUUAGCUAGAGCCGCACUUUCUUUUUCCGUACAACGCGCCUAGUAUGCCGCGUUGCAGCGGCACGACCGAGCGAUCGGAUCGGACGAGGCGAAUCUUUCACGUCUUAUCCGAACGGAUCAAAUGAAAUGCACCGACUGUACUAAGUAGCCGGUAAUUGCGUUCCGGGGUCUCGGUCCCACCUUAGGGGAUGAUGGAGGAAAAUGAAAUAUGAAAAAUGGAACAUGGAAGAGAGAGAGAGAAUGAAAGAAAAAAAAGAAAUGAAAAAGGAACGACGCGCGGGGUUCAUCGAAGUAGAGAUUACGAUCUUGGCGUUCAAAAUUAUAACAAAGGAUCUAAAGAUCACACAUGUGCUCAGCGAUCGGCGAAACCCGCCCGCAGGACCCCGAGGCGUUGUAGACAUAGAAUUACGAUGAUAAACUUUCGGUGCCGCGGUACGUCAGGAUCGGAGAAUAAGACGCCGUUACGCCGGAGCACCGGGUGCCGUCGCGGGUGCCCGGUGCAAAUAAAUUUGAAACUUAAAGAGUUUGAAGUUUUAAAUGAUACCCCUGCGCGUUCGCCGUUCCGGAGCGCGCAACCGGCACGAGGAAAUAUUUUUACGGCCGAACAACGAUAAGGGAUGCGCACGUUGUGGCGAUACGUUGAACCGAGAAAAAAUUGAAAAAACGACCACGAAUCGAUAAAAAAUUGUAAAAAAUUGUGAAAAAAAAUUGAAACAAAACUGUAUUUUCGAACGAUAUUCCAGGAUGAAAAUAAACGGAGGAGUGGUGGAGCAAAACUUAAGCCCUAAUAACGCGUAGCGCUACUCUACCGUCACUAAACAGCGGGAACUCGAUACGGGUUCGAGUUAUAAUCUCACGGCCUACGGCGGGUUUUACACACCAGAUUUGACGUAAAUUCGUGUUGAUGUCAACUCGAUUCAGGGGAUGAAUAGAAUUGAGAGAAAAAAGGAGAUGAAAGAAAAGAACGAAAGCAAGACAGGGUGAGCCGUCGGGGCGCUGCACCGCGACACUCGAAAAACGCCGAAGGGUGGAUGGGGGCGAGUCUCGCGACGACGCGAUCUUCGGGCCCACGGAAGCGAAAAAUGGAAUUUCGAUUUCUCCCUUCUUUUUCUUCCACGUUAUUUCAAUACCUGCAGCGGCGGCGGCAUUUCACCCGUGCAUGUAUCGAUUUCUCUACCGAAAAAUCAUUCGGAGAUAUUUUGUUACGUAGUCGGGAGAAGAGGGGAUGCCGCAGCAACGCGUAUUGUCUUUCCUCUCUCUCCUUCGGAAUCGCAAAGGGGCAACGUACCACGUGCGUUGCACAGAUGCUGCGGCGGGUUUCGCGACGCGAGAAUAAAAAAGAAAAGAGAUCGCCUUAUACCGUAAAUGUUGAAGAGCGAUCGAAAAUUAUCGGUCGAUCUUAAUCACCGUGCCUCCAAGUAACAGAUACGGUUGUUAAGGGAGUUAUGCGAAUGCGAAAAUCUUACGGGAUCGCGCGUCCGGCGCUGCGUGUAUAAUACUCGCGUCGCUCGUGGAAAAAACGAGUAAAUUAACGGUGGAAAAAGAUGAAGGGUUGAUUGGUAAGCCGCUCAUCCGUUCAAUUAAAUUUGACGCGUGCGCUAAAUCUCCGCGUAUCCAUGUUAUACCCGAUACGGUGCGUCGGCCAGACUUUAUAUUACCCGCAGCGGUUACCGCCUUCGCAAACUUUGUGCCCACAGCAGCCCCCGGUGUGCGCGAAUAGGUGUUCGUGUACGUACACCUUCAAUUUUUGAUACACGUCCACCGAAGAAAUAAAUGUAGGAACUCGACCAACGCGCAUCUGCGCCGAAACACAGUCUCGCCACCGUGUAUUUACAUAUAUUUACUUGUGCUAAGAACUGCGCCAUAUUGUGCCUCGCGAUAAGGAUCUUGCGGUAGCACCGGCUGGCAAAGAUAAAAUCAAAACCCUUGCUCGCCGCCUCAUUCUCUCCACUGCUACCUUUCCUUUUGCUUCUUUACCUCUGCGCUUUUUCGUGCACGACUGCAAAGGUAGGCGCAUACGGGACACGUGUAUAGGGAGGGAAUUGAGAACGGACCGGGCAAAAUUGCCAAACCAAACCGAAGUGGCCAACCACCUUGCCUCCGUCACCUCGCAACGAUAUCACCAUCUGUACCUCAUUAGCUUAAGCGGUAUAAAUACACGCUCCGGUACCCGACCUCGCACUCCUCUUCGUACCCAACUUUACCACCUUCCAGCUUUACCUCGUAUUACGCUACACUCGCGCUCUAUCCGGACCGUUCUCCCGCAUCAGCCCCAUUAUACGCGCUAUUACGUUCCACAUCAACUGGAAAGCGGAAUGGGUGAAUCUGAUCUCUUACGGGCUGCAAGUUAAUCAGGAUAGCACGCCGAGGAUAAGAGUCGUGUCGAGUAGAAAGUUGAUCAACAUUUCCAUAUCGUAACAAUGGGAUACGUUUACUCAAAACUCACGGUCUGCCACCGCGACGUGAUAUACAAGUACCAAGGUACGUACGUACCUACCUACCUAUCUACCUACCUACCUACCCGGCUAUACCUACCCCGUAGGCACUUGUAUAUUCCUACACGAAUAAGACCGGCCCAUCGUAUAAGACAAACGUAGUUCGCUCGCGCGUGAGAAAUGAACUAACUGUAUACCCUAUCCUGUUGACUGGGAAGCCGUAUAUUAACGAUGGAUAUCGUAAGUGCUACGGUGGAUUAGAAUUGGUGCGUGCAUGAUGAUGAGAAGAAGAAGAAGAAGAAGAAGGACGAGGAGGAGGAGGAGGAGUAGGAGUGUUUCGUGUUUCGUACAGACACGGUCUCACUUCCGCUUACGCGCGCCGCUACCACCGCGGACUGGUAUUAGAAAUGGUUACAGGUAUAUACAGCAGCGCGGCGAUGACCACCAAACCAAUUUUUCAGUCAGAAAUUAGUCUAUCCAGAAACCAACGAUUCGUGUAAUUUACAUCGCUGUAUUUAUUAGGAACGUAUAGCCGAAUCGCGGGUCUAUGUAUGGAGAUUAAUCGAGAUGAUCACGGUAUUUUGUGGGUAACAGGAAAUCCUGUGGGGAAUUUAGAAUUCUACCAUACGUAUUAGGGAUAUGUAAGUACAUUAUACUCCGCGGUAUUGGAAUGUGCAAAUUUGACGUGUAUAUAAGUAGGUAGCAUAAAUUACAUAACGCAUUAUCGUCCCUGUAUACCCCGCAGCUUGUGCUAUCUCUGCGAUAAUCUCAUUGGGAGACUUGAUAUUUCUUCUUCCCUGCCUCGUGUGCAACUUCCUCUUCUGUUUCGUUUGUACUUUUUAUUUAUUUAUUUGUUUAAUUUUUUUUUUUUCUUUUUUUUUUUUUUUCUUUUUUCUGCUCACUUUUGCUAUACUUGUAAUCUUUUACCGCGUCUGAACUCGGUUUUUGCGCAUCGUACCACGACGUAUAAUAAUAAUUUAUCCGCGUAUGGUGCAGAAAAUUAUACUUUCGCAUCGAAUAUCUAAAGCAUAACUGUUGGACUCGCACGCGAACGAUUGCCUCCGGGUACUUCGAUCUGCUCGCACCGCAUCAUCACGUAUUAUACGUACGUAAAAACCGAAUUUUUUCCACAUUUUUUUUCUCAUUCGUAUACGUCUCUCUUUUAGUUUUUGUUCGACUGUAGAUUUUUUUCUCUUUUCUUACAUUUACGAAAUGCCAGGAUUAUAAUGAAUGGGUGUUUAAAGAACCGAAUUCCUUCAUUGAAUCAAAGUAUAAACGAAUUCCUUAUAUUCAAAUACACCAUUUCUAGGAUUCGAGUUCAACUUCGUUCCGUGAGACUCGGUAUACGAAUGUGUGGUGUACGCCAUACGUAUAAUGAUAUUCAUCGGUCCCUCGAUGCCGGCGGAUUGAACGCGAGUCCCCAAAGUUAUGCUCGUGAAAUGAAAGUAAAGGGCUAUUUGGGAGCAAAAGAAUAAUGCAUGUCUCGGAAUGACAAGAAACUAUAAUGUAUAUGGCACCGUAGCCGAGCUCGACUCGACGUCGGUCGUCGCCACCCACGCAGCGGCUAUAAUAUCCAUCAUCGUGAUGUAGAAGGCAUCGCGAUGGGCGAUAUAGCCGGCAGAAGCAGGAGCAGGAGCUGCGCCAGGAGCAGGAGCAGAAGUAGAGGCAGAGACAACAAGGGCGGAACGCGCGACGGCACGAAAACGAUGAUAGGUGUGACGGGUAACGCGCCUGGUGACAUCGCCAAUUAUUCACCAGCUACGGCCAACACUCUCGAUCCUACCUAUAUGCGGUAUGAUACAUCGUCGUCUACCAUCAACGCCGAUACCAUUCACCUCGUAGACUCACCUGAGCGAACUUGCAGGUUUUGGACGAAAUACAAUUUUUCCAACGAGAAUCAUCGCUUCAGAAUCGUCGUUCAGCGUUGGGAGAAUUCGAUCAUCUUCAAAAACCCAAUAGUCGGUCCUUCGAGGGACAAACGAGAAGAAAAAAAAUGCACAAACAGGUACAAGCGAUUCCGAAUUCUUUGUAGGAUCGAAGAAUUCGAGAUCUUCGAACUUCAUAAACACAUUGUGUGCGAUGGAAAGGAGAAAAAUUUUCUUCGCUUUAUUAAUUCAACGUAUUGCUUCGCCAAGGACCCAAUUAAACGAGCUCUUCUCGCGUAAUAAUUGCCGACACGGAUAACGUAUAAUGUUCGAGUCUUGAGCCGCGACUACAUCGUGAUCGUUUGAAUAUAAACGGUCUCGGUGUCAUAUCGAUGUAGGAAAAUAAGCACUGGUUGACAGUUGCGGUGCAUAAAUUACACCGUAAUUUGAGUGCUCGUUAAAAAUCUAUUGAUUCCAACGAAUCGUGUACGCCGCGUGUUUCAACUGAUAUAUGUUGGAAUGCAGCGUCGGUUACAUCUACCUACGUACGGGUACAUACUUAUAUCCAUAAUUCGUAGUAUACCAAUGUCUGCAGACAUUGAUAGCGCCGUAGUACUACAUUAAGUAUAUGCGUUGAAAAUUACCCUGCUCGACUGCUAACCGUGUGCGUACCGUAUUAUAAUUGACUUACCUUCAUUGGCUAGUGAUAGCCACCUAGGCACGCCUAUUCCAAGAAUCUUCAAUGGCUUUUAGAGUCAUUAAUUUUACCUCAGCAUACUCUGUAUUCGGUUGAAACAAUCCGCACGCGUUGGCGCGAUCCGUGCCGUUCAUUCUAAAUUGCAAAAUAACUUCGGCGAAUUUCAUGUGAAAUGAAACUUUUAUUAGUUUCAUUCGAGCAGUCCAUAUGGUAUUCUCCGUCUUUCCCUCAAUUCUUUUUUAACUUUUCGCUUCAACGCUCGGUAAUUCUAUCGGCCUGCACGAGCAACAACAACUAUUUAUGCAAUAUAUUUAAUUACCCGGAUGCUCACGUGUUCAUCAUGCAAUUGCAUGUGCAAAAAAAUCGGUCGGUGAAUUACACAUGAAAUAUGCUGCGAGUCGGCGAUUUGCUGACUUUGCAAAUUCAGCUAAACUUGCGAAAUCUUUGGUACCCAUUGGCGAAAUCCUGGUACAGAAGCUUGGAAGGAAAUGGUAUACAUAGAAUUGGAAACAAAUAGGGUACCUUUGUAUACAUGGAAUCAUUAUACGUAGAUGAAGAAGAGUGAGGAUAAUUAAUCUCAGAUUUCUAGGUAUUUUUUCAACCGCGGCAUUGUCUCGCAUGUGUGUCAAAGUUGUAUUAUAUAUUGUAAAAUUGCGAGGCUUAUAAUACCUUGCUAUUUAACUGAACGCUGUGUAAGGAUUCCAGCACCGAGUCUUUACGUAGUCGUGUAAAACCGCGUGCUGGAACACCCGAACAUAUUUAUGUACCUACACAUAGGUAGAGAAUUUAUUGAUGUCGAUUUUUCAAAUCAUCAGUCAUUUUACUGUGCGACUCCGCGUAUUUUCCAUGCAUUUCGUUGUUAUCGAUAACAACGAGUUUGUACUAAAGAUGCCUCAUUGUAACUCGCAUUAAGUCGUUCAAAUGACGGGAGAGAUUCUUUCAAAGAUGAAUCCUUUCAAUGCAUUGCUAUUAUAUUGUACAAAACGUACGUCGCAAGUAUCGUAUGGUUGUAUUGUACCUAUAUGAGGAUAUAAUUGAACAAAUACAAAUACAACUGCAACGAUAUGCGCUCGUAUCUCGUUGGCGUAACUAUAAACGAUUGGCAUGACUAAUCUGAUUGUAAUGUGGAGAAAACAUUAUCUUACAAAGCGCGUUGUAAGUGAAAAAAAAAUCGUUGGUAAUAUUAUUAAUUAAUGGAUCUAAUCAUGAAAAAAAUUCAGCAAGAAUAAAAUGGAUCCCAAGUUUUUUACAAAACAGGGAAAUCUCCGACCCCUAAUUUCAUAUGUGCUCUAAUCGCUAAGUCCUACAUAAUCUUCUUUAGCGACAAAAAAAAUUGUUGAGCUGAUUUAUCAACGGAGUAGAAUAACGGUUGUCCUUGGUAUC